rnacentral:rRNA from 1 species
UACAGAGGUCUCAAGCGUUGUUCGGAUUCAUUGGGCGUAAAGGGUGCGUAGGUGGCGUGGUAAGUCGGGUGUGAAAUUUCGGAGCUUAACUCCGAAACUGCAUUCGAUACUGCUGUGCUUGAGGACUGGAGAGGAGACUGGAAUUCAUGGUGUGGCAGUGAAAUGCGUAGAGAUCAUGAGGAAGACCAGUGGCGAAGGCGAGUCCCUGGACAAAACCUGACACUGAGGCACGAAAGCUAGGGGAGCAAACAGG